UACGUAGGGGACGAGCGUUGUCCGGAUUCAUUGGGCGUAAAGCGCGCGUAGGCGGUUACGCAAGUCGGUUGUGAAAAUCCGGGGCUCAACCCCGGGCCUGCAGCCGAUACGGGCAGACUAGAGUUCGGCAGGGGGAGACUGGAAUUCCUGGUGUAGCGGUGAAAUGCGCAGAUAUCAGGAGGAACACCGGUGGCGAAGGCGGGUCUCUGGGCCGAUACUGACGCUGAGGCGCGAAGGCGUGGGGAGCGAACGGG
rnacentral:rRNA from 1 species